rnacentral:rRNA from 1 species
UACGUAGGGUGCGAGCGUUAAUCGGAAUUACUGGGCGUAAAGCGUGCGCAGGCGGUCCGCUAAGACCGAUGUGAAAUCCCCGGGCUUAACCUGGGAACUGCAUUGGUGACUGGCGGGCUAGAGUGUGGCAGAGGGGGGUAGAAUUCCACGUGUAGCAGUGAAAUGCGUAGAGAUGUGGAGGAAUACCGAUGGCGAAGGCAGCCCCCUGGGCUAACACUGACGCUCAUGCACGAAAGCGUGGGGAGCAAACAGG